GAUUCGGGGUGCACCAGGCGCGAAAACUUUGCAAUAAGCGAAAGCUUGACAGGGCUAUCCCGAGUGCCAUCCGCUGAGGAAGGCUUUUACCCAGUCUAGAACGCUGGGGGAAUAAGGAGAGGGCAAGUCUGGUGUCAGCCGCCGCGGUAAUACCAGCUCUCCGAGUGGUGUGGAUGUUUAUUGGGCCUAAAGCAUCCGUAGCUGGCUAAGUUAGUCCCUUGUUAAAUCCACCGAAUUAAUCGUUGGAUUGCGGGGGAUACUGCUUAGCUAGGGGACGAGAGAGGCAGACGGUAUUUCCGGGGUAGGGGUGAAAUCCUAUAAUCCCGGGAAGACCACCAGUGGCGAAGGCUGUCUGCUAGAACGCGCCCGACGGUGAGGGAUGAAAGCUGGGGGAGCGAACCGGAUUAGAUACCCGGGUAGUCCCAGCUGUAAACGAUGCAGGCUAGGUGUUUGGACGGCCACGUGCCGUUCUAGUGCCGCAGGGAAGCUGUUAAGCCUGCCGCCUGGGGAGUACGAUCGCAAGAUUGAAACUUAAAGGAAUUGGCGGGGGAGCACAAUCACUAGUGAAU
rnacentral:rRNA from 1 species